ACGGGAGGCAGCAGUGGGGAAUAUUGCACAAUGGGCGAAAGCCUGAUGCAGCGACGCCGCGUGAGCGAAGAAGUAUUUCGGUAUGUAAAGCUCUAUCAGCAGGGAAGAUAAUGACGGUACCUGACUAAGAAGCUCCGGCUAAAUACGUGCCAGCAGCCGCGGUAAUACGUAUGGAGCAAGCGUUAUCCGGAUUUACUGGGUGUAAAGGGAGUGCAGGCGGUGCUUUAAGUCUGAUGUGAAAACCCAAGGCUCAACCAUGGGAUUGCAUUGGAAACUGGAGUACUAGAGUGUCGGAGAGGCAAGCGGAAUUCCUAGUGUAGCGGUGAAAUGCGUAGAUAUUAGGAGGAACACCAGUGGCGAAGGCGGCUUGCUGGACGAUUACUGACGCUGAGGCUCGAAAGCGUGGGGAGCAAACAGGAUUAGAUACCCUGGUA
rnacentral:rRNA from 1 species